GAUGAACGCUGGCGGCGUGCCUAAUACAUGCAAGUCGAGCGAACAGACGAGGAGCUUGCUCCUCUGACGUUAGCGGCGGACGGGUGAGUAACACGUGGAUAACCUACCUAUAAGACUGGGAUAACUUCGGGAAACCGGAGCUAAUACCGGAUAAUAUAUUGAACCGCAUGGUUCAAUAGUGAAAGAUGGUUUUGCUGUCACUUAUAGAUGGAUCCGCGCCGCAUUAGCUAGUUGGUAAGGUAACGGCUUACAAAGGCAACGAUGCUUAGCCGACCGGAGAGGUUGAUCGGCAACACUGGAACUGAGACACGGUCCAGACUCCUACGGGAGGCAGCAGUAGGGAAUCUUCCGCAAUGGGCGAAAGCCUGACGGAGCAACGCCGCGUGAGUGAUGAAGGUCUUCGGAUCGUAAAACUCUGUUAUUAGGGAAGAACAAAUGUGUAAGUAACUAUGCACGUCUUGACGGUACCUAAUCAGAAAGCCACGGCUAACUACGUG
rnacentral:rRNA from 1 species